rnacentral:rRNA from 1 species
UUAGUGGCGGACGGGUGAGUAACGCGUGGAUAACCUGCCGUAUACAGGGGGAUAACACUUAGAAAUAGGUGCUAAUACCGCAUAAGCGCACGGUUCCGCAUGGAACAGUGUGUAAAAACUCCGGUGGUAUACGAUGGAUCCGCGUCUGAUUAGCCAGUUGGCGGGGUAACGGCCCACCAAAGCGACGAUCAGUAGCCGGCCUGAGAGGGUGAACGGCCACAUUGGGACUGAGACACGGCCCAAACUCCUACGGAAGGCAGCAG